rnacentral:rRNA from 1 species
CAGUAGCCACGGUAAUACGUAGGUCCCGAGCGUUAUCCGGAUUUAUUGGGCGUAAAGCGAGCGCAGGCGGUUAGAUAAGUCUGAAGUUAAAGGCUGUGGCUUAACCAUAGUACGCUUUGGAAACUGUUUAACUUGAGUGCAGAAGGGGAGAGUGGAAUUCCAUGUGUAGCGGUGAAAUGCGUAGAUAUAUGGAGGAACACCGGUGGCGAAAGCGGCUCUCUGGUCUGUAACUGACGCUGAGGCUCGAAAGCGUGGGGAGCAAACAGGAUUAGAUACCCCCGUAGUCCCUGUCUCUUAUACA